rnacentral:rRNA from 1 species
CUCAAUCGAGUGGCGAACGGGUGAGUAACGCGUGAGGAACCUGCCUCAAAGAGGGGGACAACAGUUGGAAACGACUGCUAAUACCGCAUAAGCCCACAGGUCGGCAUCGACCAGAGGGAAAAGGAGCAAUCCGCUUUGAGAUGGCCUCGCGUCCGAUCAGCUAGUUGGUGAGGUAACGGCCCACCAAGGCAACGAUCGGUAGCCGGACUGAGAGGUUGAACGGCCACAUUGGGACUGAGACACGGCCCAGACUCCUACGGGAGGCAGCGGUGGGGAAUAUUGCACAAUGGGGGAAACCCUGAUGCAGCGACGCCGCGUGGAGGAAGAAGGUCUUCGGAUUGUAAACUCCUGUUGUUGAGGAAGAUAAUGACGGUACUCAACAAGGAAGUGACGGCUAACUACGUGCCAGCAGCCGCGGUAAAACGUAGGUCACAAGCGUUGUCCGGACUUACUGGGUGUAAAGGGAGCGCAGGCGGGAAGACAAGUUGGAAGUGAAAUCUAUGGGCUCAACCCAUAAACUGCUUUCAAAACUGUUUUUCUUGAGUAGUGCAGAGGUAGGCGGAAUUCCCGGUGUAGCGGUGGA